UUAGGUGGCUAUAGCGUGGGGGUUCCACCUCUUCCCAUUCCGAACAGAGAAGUUAAGCCCCAUUGCGCCGAUGGUACUGGACUAAAUCCGGGAGAGUAGGUCGCUGCCGUUU
rnacentral:rRNA from 1 species